GAUGAACGCUAGCGGCAGGCUUAAUACAUGCAAGUCGUGGGGCAGCAGGACUGUAGCAAUACAGUUGCUGGCGACCGGCAAACGGGUGCGGAACACGUACGCAACUUACCCUGAACUGGGGGAUAGCCCGGGGAAACCCGGAUUAAUACCCCGUAAUAUAAUGGAGUGGCAUCACUUUAUUAUUAAAGCUCCGGCGGUUCGGGAUGGGCGUGCGGCUGAUUAGGUAGUUGGUUGAGGUAACGGCUCACCAAGCCUACGAUCAGUAACUGGUGUGAGAGCACGACCAGUCACACGGGCACUGAGACACGGGCCCGACUCCUACGGGAGGCAGCAGUAAGGAAUAUUGAGCAAUGGAGGCAACUCUGACCCAGCCAUGCCGCGUGGAGGAUGAAGGCCCUCUGGGUUGUAAACUUCUUUUAUAGGGAACGAAACCUGUGUAUUCUUACGCAGUUGACGGUACCCUAGGAAUAAGCACCGGCUAACUCCGUG
rnacentral:rRNA from 1 species